GACGAACGCUGGCGGCGUGCUUAACACAUGCAAGUCGAACGGAAAGGCCCUGCUUUUGUGGGGUGCUCGAGUGGCGAACGGGUGAGUAACACGUGAGUAACCUGCCCUUGACUUUGGGAUAACUUCAGGAAACUGGGGCUAAUACCGGAUAGGAGCUCCUGCUGCAUGGUGGGGGUUGGAAAGUUUCGGCGGUUGGGGCUGGACUCGCGGCUUAUCAGCUUGUUGGUGGGGUAGUGGCUUACCAAGGCUUUGACGGGUAGCCGGCCUGAGAGGGUGACCGGGCACAUUGGGACUGAGGUACGGCCCAGACUCCUACGGGAGGCAGCAGUGGGGAAUAUUGCAUAAUGGGCGGAAGCCUGAUGCAGCAACGCCGCGUGCGGGAUGACGGCCUUCGGGUUGUAAACCGCUUUCGCCUGUGACGAAGCGUGAGUGACGGUAAUGGGUAAAGAAGCACCGGCUAACUACGUG
rnacentral:rRNA from 1 species